UACGUAGGGUGCAAGCGUUGUCCGGAAUUAUUGGGCGUAAAGAGCUCGUAGGCGGUUUGUCGCGUCUGAUGUGAAAACUCGGGGCUUAACCCCGGGCCUGCAGUGGGUACGGGCAGACUAGAGUGCGGUAGGGGAGACUGGAAUUCCUGGUGUAGCGGUGAAAUGCGCAGAUAUCGGGAGGAACACCGGUGGCGAAGGCGGUUCUCUGGGCCUUACCUGACGCUGAGGAGCGAAAGCGUGGGGAGCGAACAGG
rnacentral:rRNA from 1 species